GGUAAAAGAAAGGGGGGGGGGGGGGAGCACGCUUGAUAUGAGGAAAGCUAGUGCCUGGAAAACAUAGGGUUAAAGUACUUUUAGCUUAACUUAGGUCGAAGAUAAAGAACAGUGUUUAUGUUGUAAGUCUGUGAUUAUUUAGCAGCCUCACUAAACAUGAGUAAAUUAUUUCACACCAUCCUUCUACUUACAGUUAAGAGACAGAGCCUCCCGAACAUCUGCUAGCUUUGGAUACUCCUUGUCUGCCCAUCCUGCAAUAAAUUCUGCAGGAAGGUCACACUGUUCUAAAUCUUUGCCAGCUAUCAGAAAAAUUAUGGAUCUGGCUGGUUUCAGCUAGUUGUGUGAUUACUGGGGCAUCCAACUAUGCCAAAGGUGAAAAGUACACCGUGAGGAAGACUGCUUACUUCAUCUUGAAGACCCCUACUCACAAGAGGAAGACUGUUUACCUCAUCCUCAAGACCCCUGCCCACAAUCACCACAGAGCAGUGUGCAGACACCAAGAGGAGGAGACUUAUGAUAAUAAAUUCUUGAGGCUAGUUAUAAUAUCCCCCGCCCAUACGUGGGAAUUAUGAAUAUGUAUGUAACUAAUGUAAUAGUGAAAGUAUAUAAACCUGUAACAAAUGCUAAUCACUUGCGCCUCUGGCUACGGUCAUGUGCCCAGCGCUGUUGCUUUUGCUUUAUUGACUUUGUCCCUCAAUAAAACCUUGCUAUCUUGUUUA